GACGAACGCUGGCGGCGUGCCUAAUACAUGCAAGUAGAACGCUGAAGCGAGGAGCUUGCUCUUCUUGGAUGAGUUGCGAACGUGUGAGUAACGCGUAGGGAACCUGCCUUGUAGCGGGGGAUAACUAUCGGAAACGAUAGCCAAUACCGCAUAACAAUGGAUGACACAUGUCAUUUAUUUGUACGGGGCAAUUGCUCCACUCCAAGUUGGACCUGCGUUGUAUUAGCUAGUAGGUGAGGUAACGGCUCACCUAGGCGACGAUACAUAGUCGACCUGGGAGGGUGGUCGGCCGCACUGGGACUGAGACACGGCCCAGGCUCCUACGGGAGGCAGCAGUAGGGAAUCUGCGGCAAUGGGGGCAACCCUGACCGAGCAACGCCGCGUGAGUGAAGAAGGUUUUCGGAUCGUAAAGCUCUGUUGUAAGUCAAGAACGAGUGUGAGAGUGGAAAGUUUACACUGUGACGGUAGCUGACCAGAAAGGGACGGCUAACUACGUG
rnacentral:rRNA from 1 species